GACAGAGGGUGCAAACGUUGCUCGGAAUUACUGGGCGUAAAGCGCGUGUAGGCGGGCUGAUAAGUCGGAUGUGAAAUCCCUGAGCUCAACUCAGGAACUGCAUUCGAAACUGUCAGUCUUGAGUAGUGGAGAGGAAAGCAGAAUUCCUGGUGUAGAGGUGAAAUUCGUAGAUAUUGGCUGGAACACCGGUGGCGAAAGCGGCUCUCUGGCCCGGUUCUGACGCUGAGGCGCGAAAGCGUGGGGAGCAAACAGG
rnacentral:rRNA from 1 species